AAUAGAUACCCAGGUAGUCCACGCCGUAAACGAUGGAUGCUAGCUGUUAUGCGUAUCGGCCCGUGUAGUAGCGAAGCUAACGCGUUAAGCAUCCCGCCUGGGGAGUACGAACGCAAGUUUAAAACUCAAAGGAAUUGACGGGGACCCGCACAAGCGGUGGAGCGUGUUCUUUAAUUCGAGGCUAAGCGAAGAACCUUACCAGGGCUUGACAUCCUUGGAAUUUCUCCGAAAGGAGAGAGUACUUUAUUGGACCAAGUGACAGGUGCUGCAUGGCCGUCGUCAGCUCGUGUCGUGAGAUGUUUGGUUAAGUCCAUUAACGAGCGCAACCCUUAUGAAUAGUUGUAUUUUUCUAUUCAGACUGCCCCGGUAACGGGGAGGAAGGGGGGGAUGAUGUCAGGUCAGUAUUGCCCUUACGCCCUGGGCUAGAAACGCGCUACAAUGGCCGGUACAAUGCGCUGCCAACCCGCGAGGGGGAGCAAAUCGCAUCAAAGCCGGUCCCAGUUCGGAUAAGAGGCUGAAACUCGCCUCUUUGAAGCCGGAAUCGCUGGUAAUCGU
rnacentral:rRNA from 1 species